rnacentral:lncRNA from 1 species
UUUAGAGAGAAAAAUGAGGCAGCAUCUCCAUUUGCAGGCUGGGAGCAUGCCCUGGGCCCAGGUUACAGCUCUGUCCACAGGGGGCUGCGCAAGAAAGAGUGUGUGCUUUGCUCCUGGGAGCCCCGCCCUUCCUCGAAUAUUCUGGAGAUCUCUUUUGUGGUGGGGAGACCCAGCAAAGGCUGCACACACAGCUUGCUCAAGGUCACCCCAUGAAAAGUUCAGCUGGGGAUCAAGGUCCCUUUUUUAUUUUGGGGUUUUUUGGGGGCUAAUUCUGGGACAUGGGGACCUUCUGUCACCUUCUGAGAAGGGCUCUUGAUUGUACACUGGUGCCUGAUGCCUGAGUGUUAGAAUUCAUAUCCCAAACGCACUUUAAAAAUAUUUAAAUAUCUCCGCUCUAGAUCACCCGAAUACCCAAAAAUAGCAGGUUAGUAACAAAUACCUGAAAUUUCCUCCACACCAUGAAAUAAUACACAGCCUUUAAAAUGAGGAUGAGGAUAUAACAAUGGAAAGGUUUCCAUGGAAAAUUUUUAAAAAGCAGAUAGAAAACUGUAUAUGUGAUAUGAUUUCAUGUAUUAAACAUUUAUAUAUGUUUAUUUAUAUACAUUCACAGAAGAAACGCCUAGAUAAUCAUGUACCAAACUCUUAAUAGUGGAUACUUUGGAUAAUAGGAUUAUAAGUGCUUUUAAUUUUCUUAUAAAUGUAGUAUCUUUGCUCAUUUAAAAAUGUUUUAUAUUUGCCAUAUAUCAUUUCUAUUAUUAGGGGAAAUGACUGAAGAUUCAAAAACCAUCCCUGAUAAAAAAUAUUCCAUAUCUUACUGAACUCCCAAUAUUCUUUCUCUUUCUCUGAGGUUAGGUAAUGUGGAGGGCCUGGUAAUAUUGUCAGCUUUAUAUCUCUCAGAGAUAUGAGACUAUGGUGAGCAUAGCUAUUAUUAUGUAUAGAAAAGCAGAAUAAUUAAUAGCCAAUAACCACACCCCCUAUUUGACUGCCAGAGUGACCAUCUAGUGGAAAAGAUGCUAUGAAGCAUUUUUCUUCUACUUUCCCUGCCUAGGGGCUGGAGAGACUUCUUCAUGAAGGAAUACAGGGACAGUCACAGGAGACAGGAGCACCAAGGGAUUCGGACAUGUGGCUGACACAGUCUUCUGGAGAGCCCCGGAUGGCAUCAGGGGGAAACCUGGCCUGAGACAGUGCCCUGAUGGACAAGGACAGGAAUACGGUCAUACCUCCUGCCCACUUGACCAACGACCAGGAUGAGAAGCCAACAGAUGAUGAAUAUGAAUUAAAGUUGGACAACUAGCAAGUUUAAAACUUGGACUGGGACCUAGAUCUUCCGAUUCCUACAGCUAGCCUCCCUUUCCAUCUUCUCUGUGGUCAUCACUAAUGCAGUUUUUGACCGUCUUGUCCAGAAGCUGCAAAACAGACAACAGAAGCCAGGACUGGCCCUGCCUUAGAUGGCUUUCAGUGCAGGAAAGUAUCAAGACAGUCUUGUUCGUAGCGUAUAUCUCUCUCCACCUUUUCUGCUAAGCACCUCAUGUAUGCAGCUGCCAAUGUAACACCUCCAUUUGCGUGUUUAAUCACCAUCUCAAGCUAAUGUAACCAAGCAGACUUCUUGGCCUUCAUCCCUGCCUCCUCUAGUCUUCUCAUCUCUCUCUCUCUCUCUCUCUUUUUGAGACAGAAUUUGGCUCUGUUGCCCAGGCUGGAGUGCAGUGGCACCAUCUUGGCUCACUGCAACCUCUGCCUCCUGGGCUCAAGCCAUCCUCCCAACUCAGCCUCCUGAGUAGCUGGGUCUUCCCAUCUCUUUAAAAAACAAUUCAAUUGUUCAGAACAAAACCCUGGAGUCAAAUUCCAUUUCCUCAUGAGGGCUUCCCUGAAUACCCACUUUUAAUUAACUCUCUGCCUCCUCCCAUCACUUCUGUUUUACCCCCUCUUUUAGUUCCUUCCUAUCUUAGUUUCAUAAGAGCCAGGGCCGUUUCCGACUUCUUUCCCCGUCAAGCCUCCUUAGAUAGGACAGGUCCUCUGCCUCACCGACUUUAAUCAGUAUUUGCUAAGUAAACAGAGCACAGGAGGAUCCUGUUGUCAUCAAAGAGCAGCUCUGCCUCCAAUGGCGAAAGGAUUGUUGGAACCUCAUCCUUCCUUCAAGUUCUGGUUCAAAAAAUUCCAUGCUAUGCCUCACAUGGCCUUGCCCAGGUGCCUGUUUGAUUUGCCUGGGUUGUCUGUUCUUUCUUCCCCACUGUCCUCAUUUGCCAUGUGGCUCGGUGGUGGCUGGAGACCUCCAUGCUGGCCCCUGGGAGCAGCUGCUAAGGCUCGGCGCCUCAGGACACCUUGGCACCUGUGGAUAUCGACCACCAGGCUUCUCUUCUGUUCAUGUCUCUGCAAGAAUGAGAACCUGCCCCCAUACCAUUUGUGCUGUGUAGGCCUCAGGAGGCAUGGACUCACGCAUCCAGCUUCCUGCAAGCCCUCUGGUACAUCGCAGUGUUCACCCCCAGCUUUCUAUUACAGCCACCACCCAGGGACUCUGGUGCAGGCUCCUUAGAGAGAGGCCAGGAAACUGCCGAGGUGAUAAGUGACAGCAGGUCUCAGGGGAAGAGAGGACUUCUCUCCUUAGUAAAGAACCUGUCGAGGUCGGAAAGACACUCCAGGCUCAAAGCCAAAUUUGAAAGUUAGGCUGACAGCCCAACUAGGGCAGAUUGGAGGAGCCAGGUGGAGAGAGGAUGUGGGGGAGUCAGGAAAGAGGUGGAAGGAGAAGCCUGGAAGAGUGGCUCCGCUCCUGGAGUAUGGCCAGCGGCACUUCGUCAGGACCUCGACCUUCACCCACUAGUGGGAGGGUGUUCCUCGCAUGACUUGUAGGAUCACCUGGGAAACACACAAAUGGAAGAAUUUAAAAAUAUCUGCUAGGACACCCCGUGUCCCCCACAACUCAUCACAGAGCAAACCCAUCACAGAGCAAACUCCUUGGCUACUUCUUGUCUUGGGCCGUCUUUUCAUCUGGCCUGUUUGCCUGACUGGACUUUGGGGUCUUUGUUCCCAGCAUCAAAAUUUCCUACCAGCGACUUUCCAUCACAGCUCCCUUCCAGUCUUCUGGAAAUUGUCAGAUGUGCCUGGAUUUGCAGGGCCUGCACAAGAUAUGCUGUCGAUCUGGGAUUUUUGGGGAUUUUUGCAGUUCACACUCCAAUGUGCAACAGCAACCAAACGGAGAUGGAGGACGUGAACAUGAACUACUGGAGAUGCUGAUGAAACGUGUGUAAGGACCGCAAUGGUAUCUGUGUCCUGCUCGUGAAAUUGACCAGAUACAGCGGCUUCCUUUUGCUUCCGAAGGCCCGGAUUGACCUGACAAUUGAUAUGCUUUGCUCUAUACUCCAACUCCCAUUGACCAUGGGGUGAAAGCACCCUUUCUCGGUCAGCCUCACUGCUUCCCCGCAGAUGGAGGGAUUUUCUGCAGGAGCAUGGGCCCUGGGCCUUCCUUUCCCACUGUCUCUUGAAAGCCUCCUCCAGAUGUGCUGCCUGGCUCAGCUCUUUGGGUGACUUUUGUUCUGUCUCAUGUGACCCAUCAAGAUUCACACAGGGCUGUGUCCCGGGCAGGGCUGGAGUCGACAUUCAGGGAGGAGAUCACUGUUCUGGAACAGAGCAGUGAUUGGUUUAAUUGAAAUCUGAUAGAUCAUCAUGUAAAAAGCUGGCAUGUAAGCAUGCUCCCGGAGCCUGCAGGGCCCUGCGCGGCCUCUUGCCUGGCCAUCACGUAGAGGCGGUCCUCUUGCAUGGUUGGGGGCCUCACCUGCACCACGGGCCCCCAAGCCAAACAGUGAGAUUGUACGGAGACCAUCCUGGUCAGGUCUUGCAGUUUGCACCAGGUAGCCCCAGGCUAUCCUGCCGUGCAAGAGCUGCCUUCUCAGCACAGUGGAGUUCUACGGCUGCCUCGGCUGCAGAGGUCAGCUCUGGAGCCUUGCUGAGCACCUCCAUGGAUGCAUUUUGCAAAGGGCCGAGUAAGAGGCAUUAACGUGGCCUGUGCUUAGUUCCUGACAGCAAGCGGGAUUAAACCCGGAUUAAAGGAUCAGCCCUAAACCAAAGCAGACCAGUAAUAGGUCUCAUGAUAAAAGCAGCCAAAUAAUAAUAGUAAAAAUCUAUUCUUGGACUU